rnacentral:rRNA from 1 species
AGUCGAGCGGAAGAUGGGAGCUUGCUCCCUGAUGUUAGCGGCGGACGGGUGAGUAACACGUGGGUAACCUGCCUGUAAGACUGGGAUAACUCCGGGAAACCGGGGCUAAUACCGGAUGGUUGUUUGAACCGCAUGGUUCAAACAUAAAAGGUGGCUUCGGCUACCACUUACAGAUGGACCAUUGGCGCAUUAGCUAGUUGGUGAGGUAACGGCUCACCAAGGCAACGAUGCGUAGCCGACCUGAUGGGUGAUCGGCCACACUGGGACUGAGACACCCACCAGACUCCUACUGGAGGCG